GGGGGCAACCCUGACGCAGCAACGCCGCGUGGGUGAAGAAGGCCUUCGGGUUGUAAAACCCUUUUCUGGGGGAAGAGAGAGGACGGUACCCCAGGAAUAAGUCCCGGCUAACUACGUGCCAGCAGCCGCGGUAAAACGUAGGGGGCAAGCGUUAUCCGGAUUUACUGGGCGUAAAGCGCGUGCAGGCGGCUUGGUAGGUUGGACGUGAAAGCUCCUGGCUCAACUGGGAGAGGCCGUUCAAUACCACCGGGCUUGAGGGCGGAAGAGGGGAGUGGAAUUCCCGGUGUAGUGGUGGAAUGCGUAGAGAUCGGGAGGAACACCUGUGGCGAAGGCGGCUCCCUGGUCCGCACCUGACGCUCAAGCGCGAAAGCGUGGGGAGCGAACGGGAUUAGAUACCCCGGUAGUCCACGCUGUAAACGAUGGAUGCUAGGUGUGGGUGGUAUUGACCCCAUCCGUGCCGUAGCUAACGCGUUAAGCAUCCCGCCUGGGGACUACGGCCGCAAGGCUA
rnacentral:rRNA from 1 species